GGCAAUGGGGCCUAGUAGAGAAGGCACUGGACUGAGACUCCGGAGACCUAGGUUCAAUUUCCGCCACUGCUU
rnacentral:tRNA from 1 species